AGGCUCUGGGAGCUGCAAGGAGAGAGCAAGGUCAGUUGGAUCCGUUGUCAGGAAAGAAUCUGUGUCAGGUAGAGGAGGUGCAGAUAGGGGAGAAAGGAUAAGGGUUUGAGAGGCAUCAACAGAUGCAUAAAAACAAAGAAAAAAUGGUGCAUAAAGUGGGAAUGUGUCAAAGUAUAAAGAAUGCCUGUACAUAGGGAACUUCGGACCAUUUUCUCAACCUCUGGCAGUAGCUGUCUAAGUCUCACAGGAUGCAGAAAUCAAAAGUGCCAUUCUCUGGCCACUGAGAGCCAUUUUCUGGUUUGUAUUAUGGCCAUGCAGUGUUACAGAAGAAAAUCAGAUGUUUAGGCUUCAGAUCAGGGUAUAGAUGGAGAGAUUUCAGAUUCUUUAAGAGUCAGGCUAGAGAAGAAGAAGGAGGAAUAGAAGAAUGAACAUUUCCUAUUGGAGCAGAGAGAGAGGAUUGUCAUGCCCUGUGUGACAAAGACCAGCAACAGGGUCAACAAUGGGAUAUCUCCAGCUGUGACCCAGGCUGUGACUGAACAUGGAAAUUAUACACAGCACUUCUCCUCACAGUUCCAUGGCCACAGUCCGCUCAUGGUCAAGUCUGGCACCAAUGAAGCAGGAAUGCAUCUGCUCUCUGGGAAAGGGAAAGGCUCAUGCAUUCAGCAACUCCUGAGACCAGACCAGCGUGCUCAUCCUUGGCUUGCACAGUAAAGGGGUUCAGAGAAGACAAGUUCAUGGAAUAGUUAACAGCCCUCAGAUCCAAACCCAGGUCCAGUUCCAAAGCCCAUGCUGAAAAAUCAGUUCUCCUAGCUGACAGCAGUCCAGCAGCUCUCCACUCAGGUUCCACCACAGCCCUUUUCCCCGAACUACUGACCUCUGCUCUGCUAAAGGUAAAUGACAAGAUUCUUGCUAACAGAGUCUUCCAAUGUUCUGGUUGCUCAGGAAUCUGCCUUCCUUCAAGGCGGACCUCCCCCAGCACUGAUAAGGUAGACAAUCAUAUUCCUAUAAAUGAAGAACUAUAUAUUCCCAAAAGGUACAGAUGAAAUUGACAACUGUGUCCUGUAAACAGUCUGUGACAGACACUGUUCUCAGAUGAUUCGUGAGACACUGCUUCUCACCAGGCUGAAUUGCUGAACUGUCUGCCCUGUGUUGUUCACGUGAACUUACUAGAGAGACCACCCCACUUUGAUCAAAUGUGCAAAAGUUGAAGUGUAUCUUUGUUCAAUGCUGCUCCUUUGGACAGGAGUCUGUUGAGCUGGUGUACACCUUAAACCUGAAAUAAAAU
rnacentral:lncRNA from 1 species